rnacentral:rRNA from 1 species
GACGAACGCUGGCGGCGUGCUUAACACAUGCAAGUCGAACGGAAAGGCCCUGCUUGCAGGGUACUCGAGUGGCGAACGGGUGAGUAACACGUGGGUGAUCUGCCCUGCACUUCGGGAUAAGCCUGGGAAACUGGGUCUAAUACCGGAUAGGAGCCAUUUUUUGUGUGAUGGUUGGAAAGUUUUUUCGGUGUAGGAUGAGCUCGCGGCCUAUCAGCUUGUUGGUGGGGUAAUGGCCUACCAAGGCGGCGACGGGUAGCCGGCCUGAGAGGGUGGACGGCCACAUUGGGACUGAGAUACGGCCCAGACGCCUACGGGAGGCAGCAGUGGGGAAGAUUGCACAAUGGGCGCAAGCCGGAUGCAGCGACGCCGCGGGGGGGAUGACGGCCUUCUGGUUGUAGACUCCUUUCGCGAGGGACGAAGCUUUUUGUGACGGUACCUAGAUAAGAAGCACCGGCUAACUACGUG